rnacentral:rRNA from 1 species
CCUACGGGAGGCAGCAGUAGGGAAUCUUCCGCAAUGGACGAAAGUCUGACGGAGCAACGCCGCGUGAGCGAAGAAGGCCUUCGGGUCGUAAAGCUCUGUUGUUAGGGAAGAACAAGUAACGCAGUAACUGGCGUUACCGUGACGGUACCUAACGAGAAAGCCACGGCUAACUACGUGCCAGCAGCCGCGGUAAUACGUAGGUGGCAAGCGUUGUCCGGAAUUAUUGGGCGUAAAGCGCGCGCAGGCGGUUCCUUAAGUCUGAUGUGAAAGCCCACGGCUCAACCGUGGAGGGUCAUUGGAAACUGGGGGACUUGAGUGCAGAAGAGGAGAGCGGAAUUCCACGUGUAGCGGUGAAAUGCGUAGAGAUGUGGAGGAACACCAGUGGCGAAGGCGGCUCUCUGGUCUGUAACUGACGCUGAGGCGCGAAAGCGUGGGGAGCAAACAGGAUUAGAUACCCUGGUAGUCCACGCCGUAAACGAUGAGUGCUAAGUGUUAGAGGGUAUCCACCCUUUAGUGCUGUAGCUAACGCAUUAAGCACUCCGCCUGGGGAGUACGCUCGCAAGAGUGAAACUCAAAGGAAUUGACGA